GUGGAGGUCUGGUCACUGGAAGAGGCUGAAUGUGCAGGUCUGUUCACUGGAAGAGGCUGAAUGUGGUCUGUUCACUGGAAGAGGCUGAAUGUGGAGGUCUGUUCACUGGAAGAGGCUGAAUGUGGAGGUAUGGUCACUGGAAGAGGCUGAAUGUGGAGGUCUGGUCACUGGAAGAGGCUGAAUGUGGAGGUCUGGUCACUGGAAGAGGCUGAAUGUGGAGGUCUGGUCACUGGAAGAGGCUGAAUGUGGAGGUCUGGUCACUGGAAGAGGCUGAAUGUGGUCUGUUCACUGGAAGAGGCUGAAUGUGGAGGUCUGUUCACUGGAAGAGGCUGAAUGUGGUCUGGUCACUGGAAGAGGCUGAAUGUGGAGGUCUGUUCACUGGAAGAGGCUGAAUGUGGAGGUCUGUUCACUGGAAGAGGCUGAAUGUGGAGGUCUGGUCACUGGAAGAGGCUGAAUGUGGAGGUCUGUUCACUGGAAGAGGCUGAAUGUGGAGGUCUGUUCACUGGAAGAGGCUGAAUGUGG
rnacentral:lncRNA from 1 species